GCAAGUCGAACGGUAACAGAAGCAGCUUGCUGCUUGCUGACGAGUGGCGCACGGGUGUGUAAUAUAUAGAUAACGUGCCUCUUAGUCUGGGAUAGCCAUUGGAAACGAUGAUUAAUACUAGAUACUCCUUCUCAUAAUAAUUUGAGUCGGGAAAGUUUUUCGCUAAGAGAUCGGUCUAUAUCCGAGCAGUUAGUUGGUAAGGUAACGGCUUACCAAGGCAAUGACGGGUAGCGGGUUUGAGAGGAGGAGC
rnacentral:rRNA from 1 species